AUUGAACGCUGGCGGUAUGCUUAACACAUGCAAGUCGAACGGUAACAGGCCUUCGGGCGCUGACGAGUGGCGGACGGGUGCGUAACGCGUAGGAAUCUGCCUGUUAGUGGGGGACAACGUGGGGAAACUCACGCUAAUACCGCAUACGCCCUACGGGGGAAAGCGGGGGACCUUCGGGCCUCGCGCUAACAGAUGAGCCUGCGUGGGAUUAGCUAGUUGGUAGGGUAAAGGCCUACCAAGGCGACGAUCCCUAGCUGGUCUGAGAGGACGAUCAGCCGCACGGGGACUGAGACAAGGCCCAGACUCCUACGGGAGGCAGCAGUGAGGAAUAUUGGACAAUGAGCGCAAGCCUGAUCCAGCAAUACCGCGUGUGUGAAGAAGGCCUGAGGGUUGUAAAGCACUUUCAAUAGGGAGGAAUAGCGGCCGGCGAAUACCCGGUCGUCUGACAUUACCUAUACAAGAAGCACCGGCUAACUCCGUGCCAGCAGCCGCCGUAAUAC
rnacentral:rRNA from 1 species